rnacentral:rRNA from 1 species
AUGGCGGCGAUGGGGUUGGAAGGGACUUGGGUGUGGGGGGAUCCCAUCGUGGGCGGCGACGAGGCGAAGAUGGCAAAGCUCCGCGAGAUCUAUCGGCGAUACAUGGAUGCGGAGGGGAUGCGUCAAGUAUCACGUCGGGUGGUUGAACAUGCCUCGGAGGAGGAGCGGAGUCGGAUCUUAGGGAAGGCCCCACUCGAAAUCCUCUAUUGGGCGGUGAUGGAGGCGGAGUCCGGCGAUCCGAUGCGGCGCGAGCAGUGGCACCGCUACUUGUCGUACGAUUGGGUUUCGUCCGACCCAAUCUGGGAUAAUGUGCGGGUGGUGACCAUGACUGGGAGGUCACCGCCACGCAGUCCGACGAUGCCCGUCCUGACUGACAACGACGUGCGGGUGUUGCCGAGUCAAAAUGUUGCCCAGGUGGUUUCACAGCUGCCUCGUCGCUCACCUCGGUUUCCCCGGCGUUCUGCGCGGAUCCAGGCACUUGCACAGAGCGCCGCCGAUGAACUGCACAAUUUUAGUUUUGAUCACAAUAUUAUUGUAGUUGAUACCUUGCAGAAAGGCUGGGAGGAUUUUAGAUUUAUGAGAACUACGUGGGGUAAUACUUUAGCUCUCCGGGGUAGCAUCAAAAAAGGAUGUGAGGAAAUUGUGGUGCCUAACAACAAGGAUUCUAUUAAGUAUAAAGAAGGGAAAUCAAAGGGUGUUGACGCUGGGAGCAAAAGUCAUGGAGCAGCCCGCCGCAUAGCUCGGAAAUAUGAGCUCGACCAGACAGUAGAAUGGAAUACUGGGAAUGGAAACCGUGAUGCGGAUCCUGUGAUAUUGUACUCUGUGACGAGCACGUGCGUGCGGUGGGUGGAGGCCCUGGACAGAGCAGAGCACGGACGAAUGACCCGCGCGCUGUGCAACCGACGGACGGAUGGAACCGCCAGCCAGCGCUACGAGCGCGUGCUGUGCUGCUGCUACGGUCGGUGGGUAGGUGCUGGCCCCGCCGCCCGCCUCGCCCGCGCUCACCGCGGCGCCCGCCUCCUGCCCGCUCCUGCUCGCCACGCCCCCCGCCCACUGAGUUUUGCCACCGUUCUUUGGUUAAACUGUUGUGCGACUUUGGCCCUGGACAGAGCAGAGCACGGACGAAUGACCCGCGCGCUGUGCAACCGACGGACGGAUGGAACCGCCAGCCAGCGCUACGAGCGCGUGCUGUGCUGCUGCUACGGUCGGUGGGUAGGUGCUGGCCCCGCCACCCGCCUCGCCCGCGCUCACCGCGGCGCCCGCCUCCUGCCCGCUCCUGCUCGCCACGCCCCCCGCCCGUCCCGCGUGCGCUCACCGCGGCGCCCACCACCUGCCGGCUCCUGCUCGCCACGCCCCGCUGCCCGCCGCGCUGCGCGCCGUCCCGCCUCCCGCCGCCUACCUUGCACGCACACAGCGCUACGCGCCGCCCACCCCCCGUGUGCCCACCGCCUGCCCUGCGCGCGCAUGCAGCACUGCCCCCGCCUGAUGCGUUGUAGAGAAGUUGGGAGGGUCUUAGAUUUAGAAGAACUUUGUAAGAUAAAAGGAGAGAAAUCAAAUGGUGUUGACGCUAGGAGCAAAAGUCAUGGAGAAAUAAUCGACAAGACUGCAGAAUUGGAAUGCUGGGAAACCGGGAUGUGGAUCCUAUGUGUACAGACCGAGUUGGGUUUGACCUGGACGUGGACGCAUGCCGACCACGAACAAACAUGGCUCAUAUGUACCAACAUCAUUCAUUCGUCUUUGGAAUUCGGCUGUCGCGCAGUGAGCGGACGUCGUGCACUCAACAGUGUGUCGCACCCUACAAUGGAACGUCAGUUUUGUCUUGGUCUCCGGUUUGGCUCUUUUCCUGCCGACCCAGAAGCUUCCGUCCUCCUGCGAGAAAAUGCGUCCGUCCAUUGUGUACAACGGUCGGUCACACGUACCAACACGCUAAAAGGAGAGACUUCCAAAUGCGACUGGACUGUGGAGUGUGGACAUAGUAGUAGUACUCAGCGUAGAGCCAUCGAUCGAGAGCAACGGUUGGUCACACUGGCAAGGACAUGGAGGUGCAAGCACACGGUCACUGUGUCCGUGCAGACCAGGCUGAUCGACCAGGCACGGGUUGUUCAUCGUAUCGUAGCUCCAAACGUAUGUGCCGACUGCCGCUGCUGGCUCACGUACGGACGCGUCUGUCUCGGCAGGAAAGGGCAUUCGUCUUCGCCCCCGCGUCUUGUCCAGAGGUUCGGUCUCACCUGGACUGGACUCUCUCCGAUCGAUGGGUCGACUCACUCUUGCCAAAUCCAGCCGGCCUCGUCGCAUGCAUACAGCCGCGCACUCAAGCUCAAAAAAUAUAGCAAGGCACCUGACCAUCCAUCCAUCCUUGUCUACAUCCGCCGUUGUGGUUCAUAUAAGCAUGGUCAUGGUGAUGGUGGUGGAAAGCCUACUCACCAUUCAGGAGGGUACGCGGCGUGGUUGACGAUGAGGCAAGAUGAUCGAAGUGGUUCCGGUGUGCACGGGGUUAAUAAGGGUGUGUUGGGUGCAGCUGCGAAUGGGUCGGCUUGCAAGUUUCACAGCUGCCUCGUCGCUCCCCUCGGUUCCCCAGGUGUUCUACGCGGAUCCAGGCGAUUGCACAGAGCGCCGCCGAUGAGUAGGUGUCUUCCUGGCAGGCAGUCAAUUAUGGCUGCUACCGGGGAGGAGUCGAGGACUCCUACGAUCAUUUUGCUGCUUCAUUUUCGAAAUUUGGUGGGGAUGCAAGCGAUGUGUGGUAAGGCUUUAUUGCUCUACCACCGCCACCUGGUGAGCAAGAAGGUAUGGCUAGGUCUUAUGGUGGUGCAGGCGCGCAAGAUAAAAGGAGGGAGAUCAAAGGGUGUUGACGCUAGGAGCAAAAGUCAUGGAGUAGGUGGCAGGCCCGAGCACGGAAUGAUCCGCGCAUUGUACAAUCGACAGGUUGAACCACCGGCGCUAAAAACGCGUGCUAUGGGGAGUGAAAUACCAAAUACCCCACUGUCAUGUUGUUCGGCGAGCGAGGAAUUAUAUUCGGUGCUUGGGCAACUUGGAUGGGACAUGGUGCUUUGUUCCUUAGAAGAUGGAGCGAAUGGCGGCCUCCUACUUCAAGGAGGUUUGUACCAACGACCCAACCCUCUCCCUAGAGUGUCGGAAGGGAGGAUGCACAAGGGUAGAUUUGAAACCGUUCAAGUGGUGUUGAGUAAAUCUCUAUUGGAUUGGAGUGAACAAUAUUUGUCUUCUGGAAAUAAAAAGAUUCUUAUUAAGGUGGUGGCCCAAGCUAUCCCUUCAUAUGUGAUGAGUGUGGUCCGUCUUCCUGCCUCGGGGAUUGAGCAGGGAUUGGAGCUGGUGAAGAAGGGCAUUAUUUGGAGGGUUGGGAAUCACGCCAUGAUCAGAACUUGGCGAGAUCCAUGGAUUCCUAGGGGUUCCUCUUUUGGCCCAGUUACUCCAAAUCGUAAUUGUCGAUUUAACCGGGUGGCCGAUUUCUUGGAUGAUAACGGAGGCUGGAACAUUGACAUGCUUAAUAUUCAUUUUUGUGUGAUGGUGUUCAGGAGAUUCUAA